CGGACGAACGCUGGCGGCAGGCCUAACACAUGCAAGUCGAGCGCCCCGCAAGGGGAGCGGCGGACGGGUGAGUAACGCGUGGGAACGUACCCUUUGCUACGGAAUAGCCUCGGGAAACUGGGAGUAAUACCGUAUGUGCCCUUCGGGGGAAAGAUUUAUCGGCAAAGGAUCGGCCCGCGUUGGAUUAGGUAGUUGGUGGGGUAAUGGCCUACCAAGCCGACGAUCCAUAGCUGGUUUGAGAGGAUGAUCAGCCACACUGGGACUGAGACACGGCCCAGACUCCUACGGGAGGCAGCAGUGGGGAAUCUUAGACAAUGGGCGCAAGCCUGAUCUAGCCAUGCCGCGUGAGCGAUGAAGGCCUUAGGGUUGUAAAGCUCUUUCAGUGGGGAAGAUAAUGACUGUACCCACAGAAGAAGCCCCGGCUAACUCCGUG
rnacentral:rRNA from 1 species